rnacentral:rRNA from 1 species
ACUAAUACAUGCAAGUCGAGCGGACAGAUGGGAGCUUGCUCCCUGAUGUUAGCGGCGGACGGGUGAGUAACACGUGGGUAACCUGCCUGUAAGACUGGGAUAACUCCGGGAAACCGGGGCUAAUACCGGAUGGUUGUUUGAACCGCAUGGUUCAAACAUAAAAGGUGGCUUCGGCUACCACUUACAGAUGGACCCGCGGCGCAUUAGCUAGUUGGUGAGGUAACGGCUCACCAAGGCGACGAUGCGUAGCCGACCUGAGAGGGUGAUCGGCCACACUGGGACUGAGACACGGCCCAGACUCUACGGGAGGCAGCAGUAGGGAAUCUUCCGCAAUGGACGAAAGUCUGACGGAGCAACGCCGCGUGAGUGAUGAAGGUUUUCGGAUCGUAAAGCUCUGUUGUUAGGGAAGAACAAGUGCCGUUCGAAUAGGGCGGUACCUUGACGGUACCUAACCAGAAAGCCACGGCUAACUACGUGCCAGCAGCCGCGGUAAUACGCAGGUGGCAAGCGUUGUCCGGAAUUAUUGGGCGUAAAGGGCUCGCAGGCGGUUUCUUAAGUCUGAUGUGAAAGCCCCCGGCUCAACCGGGGAGGGUCAUUGGAAACUGGGGAACUUGAGUGAGAAGAGGAGAGUGGAAUUCCACGUGUAGCGGUGAAAUGCGUAGAGAUGUGGAGGAACACCAGUGGCGAAGGCGACUCUCUGGUCUGUAACUGACGCUGAGGAGCGAAAGCGUGGGGAGCGAACAGGAUUAGAUACCCUGGUAGUCCACGCCGUAAACGAUGAGUGCUAAGUGUUAGGGGGUUUCCGCCCCUUAGUGCUGCAGCUAACGCAUUAAGCACCCCGCCUGGGGAGAACGGUCGCAAGACUGAAACUCAAAGGAAUUGACGGGGGCCCGCACAAGCGGUGGAGCAUGUGGUUUAAUUCGAAGCAACGCGAAGAACCUUACCAGGUCUUGACAUCCUCUGACAAUCCUAGAGAUAGGACGUCCCCUUCGGGGGCAGAGUGACAGGUGGUGCAUGGUUGUCGUCAGCUCGUGUCGUGAGAUGUUGGGUUAAGUCCCGCAACGAGCGCAACCCUUGAUCUUAGUUGCCAGCAUUCAGUUGGGCACUCUAAGGUGACUGCCGGUGACAAACCGGAGGAAGGUGGGGAUGACGUCAAAUCAUCAUGCCCCUUAUGACCUGGGCUACACACGUGCUACAAUGGACAGAACAAAGGGCAGCGAAACCGCGAGGUUAAGCCAAUCCCACAAAUCUGUUCUCAGUUCGGAUCGCAGUCUGCAACUCGACUGCGUGAAGCUGGAAUCGCUAGUAAUCGCGGAUCAGCAUGACCGCGGUGAAUACGUUCCCGGGCCUUGUACACACCGCCCGUCACACCACGAGAGUUUGUAACACCCGAAGUCGGUGAGGUAACCUUUUAGGAGCCAGCCGCCGAAGGUGGGACAGAUGAUUGGGGUGAAGACU